rnacentral:tRNA from 1 species
UUAACUCAGUGGUAGAGUAAUGCCAUGGUAAGGCGUAAGUCAUCGGUUCAAAUCCGAUA